rnacentral:rRNA from 1 species
AUGAAUAUGGCGACUUGCAUUCGUAAGGUGGCCUCGGAGGAGUUUGGAGUGUCCAGGGGAAGGAGAAGCGAAGAUAAGGAUAACUGGUGGUGGAAUGAUGAUGUCCAGAAGGCGAUUAAAGAGAAGAAAGAUUGCUUCAGACGCCUAUACCUAGAUAAGAGUGCAGACAACCUAGAGAAGUACAAGAUGGCGAAGAAGGCCGCAAAGCGAGAUGUUGGUGAAGCAAGGUGUCGGGCAUCUGAGGACCUCCACCAACGGUUAGGCAUGAAGGAAGGCGAAAGGGACAUCUAUAAGAUGGCCAAGAUCCGAGAGAGGAAGACGAGGGAUAUUGGCCAAGUCAAAUGCAUCAAGGACGAAGCAGGCCAACUCUUGGUGAAGGACGAGGAGAUUAAGCAUAGAUGGCGGGAGUACUUUGACAAGCUGUUCAAUGGGGAGAAUGAGAGUUCUACCAUUGAACUGGACGACUCCUUUGAUGAGACCAGCAUGCGUUUUGUGCGGAGAAUCCAGGAGUCUGAGGUCAAGGAGGCUUUAAAAAGGAUGAAAAGAGGCAAGGCGAUGGGCCCUGAUUGUAUCCCCAUUGAGGUGUGGAAAGGUCUCGGGGACAUAGCGAUAGUAUGGCUAACCAAGCUUUUCAACCUCAUUUUUUGGGUAAACAAGAUGCCAGAAGAAUGGAGACGGAAUAUAUUAGUACCAAUCUUCAAGAACAAGGGGGAUGUUCAGAGUUGUACUAAUUACCGUGGAAUUAAGCUGAUGAGCCAUACAAUGAAGCUAUGGGAGAGUCAUUGA